AAAUUGAAGAGUUUGAUCAUGGCUCAGAUUGAACGCUGGCGGCAGGCCUAACACAUGCAAGUCGAACGGUAACAGGAAGCAGCUUGCUGCUUUGCUGACGAGUGGCGGACGGGUGAGUAAUGUCUGGGAAACUGCCUGAUGGAGGGGGAUAACUACUGGAAACGGUAGCUAAUACCGCAUAACGUCGCAAGACCAAAGAGGGGGACCUUCAGGCCUCUUGCCAUCGGAUGUGCCCAGAUGGGAUUAGCUUGUUGGUGGGGUAACGGCUCACCAAGGCGACGAUCCCUAGCUGGUCUGAGAGGAUGACCAGCCACACUGGAACUGAGACACGGUCCAGACUCCUACGGGAGGCAGCAGUGGGGAAUAUUGCACAAUGGGCGCAAGCCUGAUGCAGCCAUGCCGCGUGUAUGAAGAAGGCCUUCGGGUUGUAAAGUACUUUCAGCGGGGAGGAAGGGAGUAAAGUUAAUACCUUU
rnacentral:rRNA from 1 species